rnacentral:rRNA from 1 species
GAUGAACGCUGGCGGCGUGCCUAAUACAUGCAAGUCGAGCGAACAGACGAGGAGCUUGCUCCUCUGACGUUAGCGGCGGACGGGUGAGUAACACGUGGAUAACCUACCUAUAAGACUGGGAUAACUUCGGGAAACCGGAGCUAAUACCGGAUAAUAUAUUGAACCGCAUGGUUCAAUAGUGAAAGACGGUUUUGCUGUCACUUAUAGAUGGAUCCGCGCCGCAUUAGCUAGUUGGUAAGGUAACGGCUUACCAAGGCAACGAUGCGUAGCCGACCUGAGAGGGUGAUCGGCCACACUGGAACUGAGACACGGUCCAGACUCCUACGGGAGGCAGCAGUAGGGAAUCUUCCGCAAUGGGCGAAAGCCUGACGGAGCAACGCCGCGUGAGUGAUGAAGGUCUUCGGAUCGUAAAACUCUGUUAUUAGGGAAGAACAAAUGUGUAAGUAACUAUGCACGUCUUGACGGUACCUAAUCAGAAAGCCACGGCUAACUACGUGCCAGCCGCCGCCGUAACAC